GCGGGGUUAGCUCAGCUGGUUAGAGCGCUUGCCUUACAAGCAAGAGGUCACUGGUUCGAGUCCAGUACCCCGCACCA
rnacentral:tRNA from 1 species